AACGCACAUUGCGCCCGCCAGCAUUCUGGCGGGCAUGCCUGUUCGAGCGUCGUUUCGACCCUCAGGCCCCCCGGGCCUGGUGUUGGGGCGCUGCGCCGUCGCGCGCAGGCCCCCAAACGCAUCGGCGGCGUCGCCCCGGCCCCCGGACGCAGUAAUUGCUAUCGUCCGAGGACCCCGGCGGCCCCCGCCGCGAAACCCCCCCUCUGAAAGUCGACCUCGGAUCAGGUAGGGAUACCCGCUGAACUUAA
rnacentral:misc_RNA from 1 species